AUUGAACGCUGGCGGCAGGCCUAACACAUGCAAGUCGAGCGGAUGAAGGGAGCUUGCUCCUGGAUUCAGCGGCGGACGGGUGAGUAAUGCCUAGGAAUAUGCCUGGGAGUGGGGGAUAACGUCCGGAAACGGGCGCUAAUACCGCAUACGACCUGAGGGAGAAAGUGGGGGAUCUUCGGACCUCACGCGAUAAGAUGAGCCUAGGUCGGAUUAGCUAGUUGGUGGGGUAAAGGCCUACCAAGGCGACGAUCCGUAACUGGUCUGAGAGGAUGAUCAGUCACACUGGAACUGAGACACGCUCCAGACUCCUACGGGAGGCAGCAGUGGGGAAUAUUGGACAAUGGGCGAAAGCCUGAUCCAGCCAUGCCGCGUGUGUGAAGAAGGUCUUCGGAUUGUAAAGCACUUUAAGUUGGGAGGAAGGGCAGUAAGUUAAUACCUUGCUGUUUUGACGUUACCAACAGAAUAAGCACCGGCUAACUUCGUG
rnacentral:rRNA from 1 species